AACGAACGCUGGCGGCAUGCCUAACACAUGCAAGUCGAACGAUACCUUCGGGUCUAGUGGCGCACGGGUGCGUAACGCGUGGGAACCUGCCCUUAGGUUCGGAAUAACUCCCCGAAAGGGGUGCUAAUACCGGAUAAUGUCUUCGGACCAAAGAUUUAUCGCCUUUGGAUGGGCCCGCGUUGGAUUAGCUAGUUGGUAGGGUAAAAGCCUACCAAGGCGACGAUCCAUAGCUGGUCUGAGAGGAUGAUCAGCCACACUGGGACUGAGACACGGCCCAGACUCAUACGGGAGGUAGCAGUGGGGAAUAUUGGACAAUGGGCGAAAGCCUGAUACAGCAAUGCCGCGUGAGUGAUGAAGGCCUUAGGGUUGUAAAGCUCUUUUACCCGGGAUGAUAAUGACAGUACCGGGAGAAUAAGCUCCGGCUAACUCCGUG
rnacentral:rRNA from 1 species